rnacentral:rRNA from 1 species
UAAACGUCCCAGUUCGGACUGUAGUCUGCAACCCGACUACACGAAGCUGGAAUCGCUAGUAAUCGCGAAUCAGAAUGUCGCGGUGAAUACGUUCCCGGGUCUUGUACACACCGCCCGUCACACCAUGGGAGUCGGGAAUGCCCGAAGUCAGUGACCCAACCUUUGGAGGGAGCUGCCGAAGGCAGGUCUGAUAACUGGGGUGAAGUCGUAACAAGGUAUC